UUGGGCGCGCUCGAGCUGCGAAGCGCGACACACGAGCGCGACCCAAACUGUGUCACGUGUGUGUCGAAUCUGACCGUCAUUAUGAUCGCCUUCGAUUAUUUAUUUUCGUUCUACUCGACAAUUCCAAAAAUCAGUGCCAUUGGCUUUAGCUUUGCCCUUGAACUUGAAAUCUCGUGCCUUAUUCUUUCCUGGGGACUGGUGUUGGAUAUUGAACGGGCGGAGUGACCGCCGGGAUGAUGGAUGAAGGAGAUGAUGGCCUAAACUUGGCUGCGCGCAUUCUCAUUUUCGCGUGGCCUGCCACUAGUGUUUCGCAGAUUCACAAAGGGUGUCACAGGCAUAGCUGGAGGAAGAAAGGUUUUCUGGCUGAUUCCUCCGACCCCAAUCAAUCUUCAGAUCUAUGAGCAGUGGGUGUUGUCGGGUAAACAGCAGGAUAUAUUCCUGGGUGACAUGGUCGAGAAGUGUGCCCGCGUCGAAUUGAAACCAGGCUGGACUUUUGUCAUUCCUACUGGCUGGAUUCAUGCAGUUCACACUCCUGUGGAUUGGCUAGUGUUUGGUGGAAACUUUCUGCACAGUUUCAACAUAAGCGGUCAGCUUGCCGUGGCGGACAUUGAAGAAACUACUAAGGUAUAUCAUCUCGUGACGACCACAUUUAAGUCUGAAUUUGAAGUGCGAAGAUGCUUCAGCAACCACAUCGUACUUUUCCAUUGCUUUCAUUGUGCUUCUACUGUGCAUGUGUGUAACUUGUGGGGUAUAUAUGUGAUGACAUUGUAUGCUGGCGACACGGUCAGAUUUUGUCCAUGCGUGUAACGUACACCUGCCUGUUCCUCCAGGAACUUGCGAUUCCACGGCCGCGUUGUUUUCCGCGAUUUGAACAAAAGUCCGUGAUAUCCGCGAUAUUUGAAAAAUCAUCCGCGUUAUUGUAGAAAACUGUCCUUGAUACUUGAAAAGCACCGCGAUAUUUCGAAAAGCAACCGCGAUAUUCGAGUCUUUUUUCGAUGUUGUUUAGUUCUUGAAGCUCGUCAGUAGUUUACUUGUGAGAUCGACACCAGAAUGGAGAAGUUUCUGGGCAAAUCAGCGGCUGACAAGUCACAAAAUAAGGCUCGCGUCGAGUGUUGUCCGAGGAUGGAGGAAAGCUGUCUUGCAAGCUCCUGUCAGGCAGUUGAACACAGACAUCGCAGCACACGUUCUGUUUUGUCAUGCAUGAUUUAUGCUGUACGACUCGUACAUCGUACACCACUACAGUACAAGUACAAAAUCGGCCGCAAUUUCCGCAAUUUUACCACAAUAAUCCCGCAAUAUUUGACAAAAUCCGCAAUAUUCCCCGCAAUUUGUGGCAUUUUACCUCGCAACUUUUUCCGCGAUAUUUCCGAAAUGUCUCCGCAAGUUUCUGGAAGGACAGACCUGCAUGUUAUGCAUUGAAAAGGAUCUGCCACUUGCGAUCCUGGGACAAGUAUCAGGUCAGCUUUGUCUUGUGUGGGCUGUACCAGAUUGCUGUUCACUUUUCCAUCUGUUGGAUAUGUGACUUUCUGCAAGUCUCUGGUGUAUGGUGGCCACUUCUUUGCUUGUCACUUUGUAUGAUAUUACAUUCUGUAUUCGCUGCUUCCAUGGCGUGGUCUGCAAACUGCAAUCCUUGGGCAAAUGUCAUGUUUGCUAUGUUGUGCUUUGGCCGUCAGCUUGUCUACACGUUGUAGUUGAAUUAUUUUGUUCCACAACUGACUUCCUUUUAAAAGUACGGUGGCCACUGCUUUGCAUGGCAUUUUA